rnacentral:rRNA from 1 species
AGAGCGUAUAUUCAAGUUGUUGCAGUUAAAAAGCUUGUAGUUGAACUUUGGGCUUGGCUGGCCGGUCCGUUUUUUAACGAGUACUUGUUUUCAGCCGAGCCUUUCCUCCUGGUUUCUGUGUAGUUGGGCUUGUCUCAGCUGCAUAUGAUCCAGGACUAUUACUUUGAAAAAAUUAGAGUGUUCAAAGCAGGCGUUUAGCUCGAAUAUUUUAGCAUGGAAUAAUGAAAUAGGACGUAUGGUUCUAUUUUGUUGGUUUCUAGGACCAUCGUAAUGAUUAAUAGGGACGGUCGGGGGCAUCAGUAUUCAAUUGUCAGAGGUGAAAUUCUUGGAUUUAUUGAAGACUAACUACUGCGAAAGCAUUUGCCAAGGACGUUUUCAUUAAUCAAGAACGAAAGUUAGGGGAUCGAAGAUGAUCAGAUACCGUCGUAGUCUUAACCAUAAACUAUGCCGACUAGGGGUCGGGUGUUGUUCUUUUACUGACUCACUCGGCACCUUACGAGAAAUCAAAGUUUUUGGGUUCUGGGGGGAGUAUGGUCGCAAGGCUGAAACUUAAAGGAAUUGACGGAAGGGCACCACCAGGAGUGGAGCCUGCGGCUUAAUUUGACUCAACACGGGGAAACUCACCAGGUCCAGACACAAUAAGGAUUGACAGAUUGAGAGCUCUUUCUUGAUUUUGUGGGGUGGUGGUGCAUGGCCGUUCUUAGUUGGUGGAGAUGAUUUGUCUGCUUAAUUGCGAUAACGAACGAGACCUUAACCUACUAAAUAGUACUGUUAGCGUUUGCUGAUAUAGUUACUUCUUAGAGGCACUAUUGGUUUCACGCC